rnacentral:rRNA from 1 species
GACGAACGCUGGCGGCGUGCUUAACACAUGCAAGUCGAACGAAGUGGCGAACGGGUGAGUAACGCGUAAUCAACCUGCCCUUCAGCGGGGGACAACAGUUGGAAACGACUGCUAAUACCGCAUACUGAAGGAGGGGAUUGCGUCUGAUUAGCUAGUUGGGGGGGUACCGGCCCACCAAGGCGAUGAUCAGUAGCCGGGCUGAGAGGGUGAACGGCAACAUUGGGACUGAGACACGGCCCAGACUCCUACGGGAGGCAGCAGUGGGGAAUCUUCCGCAAUGGACGGAAGUCUGACGGAGCAACGCCGCGGGAGUGAUGACGGCCUUCGGGUUGUAAAGCUCUGUUAAUCGGGACGCGGUACCGGAAUAGAAAGCCACGGCUAACUACGUGCCAGCAGCCGCGGUAAUUC